AUGUGAAUUUGAUUUUUUUUUUUUUCUGAAUCAAGAGGAAUUUAAGCAUUCGUGUUUUUUUUCUCUUAAAAAAUAUGAGCCGUUCAAUUCAUCCAAUGGACAACAUUUUGGCUGGAGAGGGUAGGGACUAAAUUACGGUGGAGAGAAUCCCAAUUAAAAUCACAGAGAUUUGAAAAACAAUAAUAAACUAAAGAGUGUUAAGAAAUCUUUCGCAGAAGUGCCUCCCAUCUUCCUCUUCGAACAACUUCACCGUUUCUGAAACCAAAACGCGAUUCCAGUUCAAAUCAAAAUCGCACUUUUCAGUUCCUCUUCGCAACUCUCAUGACGCAUUCGCGUUUGGCGCAGGAAUGAACGCUUUCGCAUUCUCGAAUACCCUCGAACAGUGUUGGUAACCACAAUUCAAAGCCAUAUAGGGUUUCGGUGCACUUGAAAACACCGUUGUCCAUGGAUGGUGGCGAUGACCCUUCAGCAUUGUCAUGGCUCUGGGUCAUUGAAGCCCUAGCAGCCCGUAAAGAAAUCUCGAAUCCCACUUUGCUGAGUUUGAUUGAUGCAGCACCUGUGGGGAAGGAUAAAUUUGGUGAAAAUGUAAAAGAAAUGGUUUCUUUGAGGUGCUUGGAGAAACUGUCCACUAUUAUGUUUGACGGUGUAGCUUCUUCAUCAUCGGAUUCCAGAGCUGGAUUUGAUUUUUCGCGGAGUUGUCAAGAUGUCCUCCAGGAAAUAUUGGAUGAGAUCCCAUUAUCAAAUCUGAAAAUGAAUGGAGCGCAGCUUUUGAAAUCAGAUCUUUACCCGUUUAUAAAUCACAAAAGAGCUGUCACUUCUACAUGCCACUUAGAGCAGCUGAGACAAACAAUCUUGGAAGGUACUCAUCCUCAUACUGAUUACUUGAAAGAAAGGAGUGGAUUAUUUCCUCAGAAUAACAGUUAUUCGGUGAUUGUAAAUGAUGUCAAUCGUGACGAUCAUUCUGCUAAGGAAGCUGGGAACUCCGCCAAUACAGAAAACGUGCUAGGAAAAGAUAACUCAGUGUCCUUGACUUUAGAGAAUGGGAAUAAAUCUUCAAGAGAACACUUGCUUGAUAAUAAUUCUUCUCCCUCUAAGAGGAGUAGGGUUUACUCAGUUGAUGAUUAUCUUACAAAACACUUUCAUGGAAAGCAAGUCUGUGUGAAGGAAUGUGGUGAUUUCUUAAGAACUUCAAAGAGGGUUAAACUUUCUGCAUCUACAAGUUUUGAGCCUAGGAAAGAGAAGCCAGAUUCUGAACAAGGAGAUCAUCAUGUAGAAAAUAAUAACAAGGAAACUGUGGGUGGUGGGUUCUCAGAGGAUAUUCCCUAUAGAUGCAUUGUUUCAAAAUUGUGCCAACCCAGCAGCCAUAUUGAAGUCCCCCCUGAUGAAUCAAAUAUUCCUUUUAAUGAUGCUUUGAUGCUUCAACAUACAUUUGGUGGUGAAAAUUCUCAACAACAGCUGGUUAAGUCAAUUCCACAUGAAGCACUUGCAGAUGGAAUCCAACAUGGGAUUUCAGGAGGUAAACCCAAGUCUAAACAUGAAAAAGAUUUACAACUUGAAGAUCCAAAUGACUCACCGCAUCAAAUUGCUGGUGUUAAAGCACUUGAUCAUACUGGGAAUGGUUGUAGGGUAGAGGAAUCAGGUGAUAUUGGGUAUCAAAGUGAAACAAAUAGCCUUAAAAUGAAGAAGCAGACAGUACAAAAUCUUUGUUUAAAGUGUAAUGAAGGUGACCAAUUACCAAUUAGUGAUGUAAAUGUCGUCCAACCAGUGGUUACUGAAUGUUGUCUUGGUAUGGAAACUACCAUGCCAACAAAUGAUGCUAAUGCAGAAAAAAAUCAUCAAACAAUUAAUCUACACCAACCCAAACAGACAGAACCAGAUAUCGCAGCGUUAAAUCUCUCCCAAGAGUCGGUUGCUUGUGAUGAAACUAUAGUUGGUGUGGUUAAUGGUUGUGGAGCAGAGGUGGUUACUGAAUGUUGUCUUGGUAUGGCAACUACCAUGCCAACAAAUGAUGCUAAUGCAGAAAAAAAUCAGCAAACAAUUAAUCUACACCAACCCAAACAGACAGAACCAGAUAUUGAAGCGUUAAAUCUCUCCCAAGAGCCAGUUGCUUGUGAUGAAACUAUAGUUGGUGUGGUUAAUGGUUGUGGAGCAGAGUUAUCAAGUGAUAGUGAUGAGUAUCACAACGAAAAAAAAUGUCUUGAAGCAAAAAAGCAUGAAUUCCUGCACUCCCACUGCACUGUUGAUCAAGAUUUCUCAGCAAUGAAUGAACCAAAUGUAAAAAAUCUUUGCAUGAAGUGUAAUCAAGGUGGCCAAUUAUUGGCUUGUAAAACAACUACUUGCCCAAUGAUGGUGCAUGAAAACUGUCUAGGGGCCUCUGCACAAUGCAUUACAAAGGGCGACUUUUUUUGCCCAUUUUGCACAUAUUCUCGCACUAUUUCAGAAUAUAUUGAAGCUAAGAAAGAAGCUUCCUUAGCAAGGAAGGAAUUAGCCAUCUUUAUUAGUAAAGGUAAAAUGAGUCGAGCUGCCGAGAGUCUUCUUUAUGAAUUUCGUACACAAGAACAUGUUUUUUCAAGAAAGAGUAGUGAGUAUGAACAUAUUCAUGUCAAAAACAAAAGAGAUGAACAGUUAACAAGGUGUGGAGACAAUAGAGAAGAUCAUGUUGAUGAGCAUGCAAAUGAAGCCAAUAAUCUUCAGUUUGGAAGAAGUCAGCAACAAGCCCAUAUAUCGUGUACCUAUUCGUCAUUCAGAGAAAAGGAAAAUAUAAGCAAUGGAUCAGUUGAAUUUUUAAGAGAAGAGAAAAUAGGUCAAAUGCCAAAUGCAAAGAACAUAACUGGUGUAAGAGGUGAAGAAAAUAAAUUGCCAACUGACCAUGUAGAUGGACUUGUUGGUGACACAUGUACUGUUGAAAAAGAAGCCCUUGUUAAUAAAAGCAAUGCUGGAUAUGAAAGUCCACAAGAAACGGCAAAACAUCUAGAUACUGAUGGAGCAACAGAGUCAGUUUCUGAACAUAAUACUGGAAAAGAGGAAAUGUCUGAAAAUGAAUGUGAAAAGCAUAGUAUUUCUAGAUACUCCAUGAGAUACCGUAAACAUAAAAUGCAAUGCAAACCUGAGGCAAGCCCAUCAUUUCUCGAUAAUCAAUUAAGACGAAAAUAUAUUCCAUGGACAGCUGAAGAGGAAGAGAUGAUAAGGGAAGGAGUACAGACGUUUGGUUUCAAUGACCCAAAGAAAUGGAAAAACAUUUUGGCAUUUGGUUCUCAUGUGUUUGAGAAAGUUGGUAAGCGCCGUACACCACAAGACCUGAAGGAUAAAUGGAAGAACAUGUGCAAAGCUUCCCCAAAAUCAAAAUGAAAGGCUUCAUCUCAAGUUAUACAUGAAAGAGUGGUCAUCUGUCUGCCGUUGUUCCUCAUUCUCAUGUGACUGGCAGUAGUCGAAAAUUAGUAUUCUCUAUACAAGCGGUAGGAAUUUUUAAGACUUCAACGAUGUGAAUGUAAUUCACAGAUGACAUAUCUGGGUAAAUAGAGGAAAAGCAUGGGAUAAAGGUGAAGUAGGUCUCGAGAAUCAGGCUGUGUAUAGCAGGAAAACAUGUGAAAUGUGGCUCGUGAUAUUGGAAAAUGUUGAGGUGGAUCUUUCUGAUAAUCCUUCCGUUGAGGUCAAAUUCGGCUAACUUAUAGAAUCCAAAGACGAGUGUCAGAGUUCAUUCAAAGCACUCACAGUUACUAGGAAAAACUCUCUCCAUGUAUACUGUAGUCAUUGCCUCCCCAUUUAAUAACCAUAUUUUCUUCCAUUUUCCUCAUUGGAUCAAUUAUAGCUCUUCAUUUGCAAAGCCUUAUCUUGUAAUAAUUAUAGUUUUUGGACAUCAGAAACUGAUAAACUUGUGAGUAUUUGCAUAAUUCAAGAUGGUUUUCUUGCC